CCUACGGGAGGCAGCAGUGAGGAAUAUUGGUCAAUGGCCGCAGGGCUGAACCAGCCAAGUCGCGUGAGGGAUGCCGGUCCUAUGGAUUGUAAACCUCUUUUGUCAGGGCGCAAAGGGCGCCACGUGUGGCGCUUUGCGAGUACCUGAAGAAAAAGCAUCUGCUAACUCCGUGCCAGCAGCCGCGGGAAUACGGAGGAUGCGAGCGUUAUCCGGAUUUAUUGGGUUUAAAGGGUGCGCAGGCGGAAUGUCAAGUCAGCGGUAAAAUUUCGGGGCUCAACCCCGUCGUGCCGUUGAAACUGGCGUUCUUGAGUGAGCGAGAAGUAUGCGGAAUGCGUGGUGUAGCGGUGAAAUGCAUAGAUAUCACGCAGAACUCCGAUUGCGAAGGCAGCAUACCGGCGCUCAACUGACGCUCAUGCACGAAAGCGUGGGUAUCGAACAGGAUUAGAUACCCGGGUAGUC
rnacentral:rRNA from 1 species